GUCGAGCGAGAAAGCCCUUUCGGGGUGAGUAGAGCGGCGGACGGGUGAGUAACGCGUAGGAAUCUACCCAGUAGCGGGGGACAACAUGUGGAAACGCAUGCUAAUACCGCCAAUACGCCUUUCGGGGGAAAGCGUGGGACCUUUCGGGCCCACGCACUAUUGGAUGAGCCUGCGUAGGAUUAGCUAGUUGGGGGGGGUAAAGGCCUACCAAGGCGACGAUCCUUAGCUGGUCUGAGAGGAUGAUCAGCCACACUGGAAACAGAGACACGGUCCCAGACUCCUACGGGAGGCAGCAGUGGGGAAUAUUGCGCAAAUGGGGGGAAACCCUGACGCAGCCAUGCCGCGUGUGUGAAGAAGGCUCUAGGGUUGUAAAGCACUUUCAGCGGGGAGGAAAAAGCUAGUAGUUAAUAACUGCUAGCCGUGACGUUACCCGCAGAAGAAGCACCGGCUAACUCCGUGCCAGCAGCCGCGGUAAUACGGAGGGUGCAAGCGUUAAUCGGAAUUACUGGGCGUAAAGCGCGCGUAGGCGGCUUGGUCAGUUGGAUGUGAAAGCCCCGGGCUCAACCUGGGAACUGCAUUCAAUACUGCCAAGCUAGAGUAUGGGAGAGGGUUGUGGAAUUCCACGUGUAGCGGUGAAAUGCGUAGAUAUGUGGAGGAACAUCAGUGGCGAAGGCGGCAGCCUGGCCCAAUACUGACGCUGAGGUGCGAAAGCGUGAGGAGCAACGGGAUUAGAUACCCUGGUAGUCCACGCCGUAAACG
rnacentral:rRNA from 1 species